CGAGGUCAAAUGGAGUAACAGAAACCCGGCUUUUGGAUUUCAGGUGAAAGACGACCUUCGCAAAAGGAGAGAUACUUCCUUGGGUAGCCAAUCCCUAAAACUGCCCUUUGAUGCCCUUACACGGACGCUUCUUGCAUGGUGGGGGAUCGUGCCAUAUCCCAUUUCAUGUGCAAGGGCAAAGCAGAUUAGACGGCACCCUACAAUUUAUCUGUACGAAAGGCGAAUACUU
rnacentral:ncRNA from 1 species